rnacentral:antisense_RNA from 1 species
AUCACAGCAGUGGGGAGUCUGGAAGGGACUGCAGAAGGCAUGGCCAGGGCUUUGGAAUGGUAUGACUGACCAGCAGAGAGACCUCCUCCCCUCCCGGGAUCCUCUAGGCACCCCUCCCCAGGUAGGAAUCUGUUAAGGAUGAGGUGUGUCCACAACCAGAAGAGAUCAUAGGAAUGAGGGAAGCAGUGAAGCCUGUUUCCCUGUCAAAGCCAGAGGGCCAGUGUGAUCCAGGAGGGAAGGCACUGGAAUGAGCGACAAGAGACCUGUUUUCUUCCUGGCCUCAUAACUGCUGUGCCACGUUGGGCCCACCUCUCCCUUUCUCUGAGCCUCAGAUGCCCCAUCUGCCAAAUCCUGGAUUGGGCCAGCUGCCCUCCCCAGGGACCUUUCAUCUGUUAUAGAAGGUGAUUCUGGUGCACCUUGCAUGUGGGCCUGUGACAAGAAAUGAACUGCCGUGUAGCACAGAGGUGAAAUGAAUCAGAUAUUCAUGCAAGAAACUGGCCAACAGGCUCACCUGAGAGUCUCCACAGGGUCACGAUGUCGCUACCUAGAGGGAAUCUGUCUUUAUUUAUUGGCUCUUUCCUGUGCAGAAUGCAAGGGAGUCUCCCUCCGGCUGAGACCCCCGGGAAGGAGGCCACAUGUGGAGGUGACUUGAACCAGGACGGCAGGAACCUGGGGUCCCCGGGGGGCUCCGGACAGAGGUCAUGGUGGAAACCCUGGGAGGUGGGGUUGCCGUUAGGAUUUUCUCCUGGCCACGUGGCGCAUGUGUGGCUGAGCCUGGGACCGGACCCUUCCCUGAACACCGAGCUGCGCUUCUACAGAGCUCUCAGCCUUGCUGCGGGAUCCAGCAGCCACCCACUCCUGAGUACCCCAAUCCCCCUCCUCUGAACUCCUCUGUCCCACUCACAUGGGAGCAGCCACCUCAUCUUACAGAGGGAGGAACUGAGGGCAGAGGGGUGGCCCGACUUGGCCGGAGUCCGGCGGGGUGGGAGCAGCAGGGCUAGGCCUUGAAUGCAGGUCUCUGGAUUCCCGACAGGGUGCCCCCGGCCCAGCUGCCAGUCCCCCUUGCCUCUGCUGAGCCCAUCCUUGCAGGGCCCACCACCUGCCUCUCUGAGUCUGCAUCACAUCUCCUGGAGGGUAGAGAGCACCGCUAGCACCUUUCUGGGGCCCUGGGCGUCCCGCGUGGCAAUGGGCAUACCAUGGUGCCCAGCAACCCUCAGCAGACAGAAUUAGCCACUGGCUUUAGAGACCGACCAUGUCUCCGAGAAGACUCUGAUGAACUGAGGGGGCGACUUGGCAGACUCAGGUUGGGGAGCUGAAGAGUCACUGUGCUACAGUGGAAAGAACCCUGGCCUGGGAGUCAGGGUUGAGUCCAUGCCUGGCUGGGCUAUACAUCAGUGACCCUGGAGAUGUGUCCCCUUCUCUGGGCUUCAGGUUCCCCAUGAGUCCAACAAGGGGCUGGAGGAACUCCCUGACCUCUGGUGCCCCUGCAGCUCUAGCAACCCAUAGCUUUAGGCACUACCAGUGUCCCCAGCAAGACCACGGACAGAGCCGAAAGUGGCAGUGCAUUACCCCUUGCUCCUGACAGAUCUGCGUCAGCCUCUCCAGCUGCUCGUCUUGGAUGACCUUGGCCUUCUCAUACUGCUGGAUAACCAUCUCCAUCUCCAGCUUCACUGGCAGGACGUAGGCUGGAAGACAGAGACAGCCCUGUAAAGAAUUCAGCAGUGGCAGGGCUUGGACUGGGGAAGGGCGGGCCCAGCAUUCAGGCAGCAGCAGGUUCGAGGCCCUGGGCCAUUUCUGUGGAUCUAGAAGGGGAAAUGUCCAGGUACCCGACAGCAUCCAGAAAGUACAGAGGGCCACAACCUUCGCUCAUGGUGUCCAGGGUAGCUGUUUUCCUGUUUUCCAUAGUGCUAGAACCCAUACUUUUGGGCUGUGUGCACAGCUGCCUGGAAUAAAGACUAUUUUCCAGCCUCCUUUGCAGCUAUGGGUGGCCACAAGACCACCUUCUGGACCAUAGGAUGCUAGUGGAGGUGGCAUGCAGCAGCUGCAGGAGCCUUCUUCACAAAGGAGCUGGGGCCAGUGAGGAUGGGGCGGCCCUGGAGCCUGCACACACUGGCGGAAAGGAAAACGGUGCAACCACUUAGGGAAACGGUUUGUCCGUUUUUCAGAGUGUUAAACAGAGAGUGACCAUAUGACCCAGAAAUUCCAUUCCUAGGUACCUUAGGGGAAGGAAAACGUGUCUACACAAAACUCACACAUGAGCAUUCAUAACAGCAUUAUUCCUAACAGUCAAAAAGUAGACAUAACCCAAAUGUUCAUCAGCCGAUGAAUGCGUGAAUAAACUGUGGUCUAGC